rnacentral:rRNA from 1 species
ACUCAAAUGAAUUGACGGGGGAUCGCACAAGCGGUGGAGCAUGUGGUUUAAUUCGACGAUAAGCGGAGAACCUUACCAGGCCUUGACAUCUACGGAAUCUCUUGGAAACAAGAGAGUGCCUCGCAAGAGGAGCCGUAAGACAGGUGUUGCACGGCUGUCGUCAGCUCGUGGCGUGAGCUGUGCCCUUAAGUGGGUAAACGAGCGAAACCCUCACUACCAGUUAGAUAUGUCUGGUAGGACUGCCCUCAUUCGAGGGAGGAAGGUGGGGAUGACGUCAAGUCAGCGUGGCCCUUACGGCCUGGGCUACACACGUGCUACAAUGGCAUCGACAAAGGGUUGCUAAGUCGCAAGACGGAGCUAAUCCCAUCAAAAGAUGCCCCAGUUCGGAUUGGAGGCUGCAACUCGCCUCCAUGAAGCCGGAAUCGCUAGUAACUGUGGGUCAGCUAUACCACGGUGAAUACGUUCUCGAUCCUUGUACACACCGCCCGU